rnacentral:rRNA from 1 species
GCACAAUGGGGGAAACCCUGAUGCAGCCAUGCCGCGUGUGUGAAGAAGGCCUUCGGGUUGUAAAGCACUUUCAGUAGGGAGGAAGGUAGUGUAGUUAACACCUGCAUUAUUUGACGUUACCUACAGAAGAAGCACCGGCUAACUCCGUGCCAGCAGCCGCGGUAAUACGGAGGGUGCGAGCGUUAAUCGGAAUUACUGGGCGUAAAGCGCAUGCAGGCGGCCUGUUAAGUCAGAUGUGAAAGCCCGGGGCUUAACCUCGGAAUUGCAUUUGAAACUGGCAGGCUAGAGUCUUGUAGAGGGGGGUAGGAAUUUCAGGUGUAGCGGUGAAAUGCGUAGAGAUCUGAAGGAAUACCAGUGGCGAAGGCGGCCCCCUGGACAAAGACUGACGCUCAGAUGCGAAAGCGUGGGGAGCAAACAGGAUUAGAUACCCUGGUAG